GAUGAACGCUGGCGGCGUGCUUAACACAUGCAAGUCGAACGGAAAGGCCCUGCGUUUGUUGGUUUCUCGAUUGGCGAACGGGUGAGUAACACGUGAGUAACCUGCCCUUGACUUUGGGAUAACUUCUGGGAACUGGGGCUAAUACCGGAUAUGAUCUCCUGCUGCAUGGGGGUGGUUGGAGAGUUUCGGCGGUUUGGGAUGGACUCGCUGGUUAUGCGCUUGUUUGGGUGGUAGGUGCUGACCAAGGCUUUGACGGGUAGCCUGCCUGAGAGGGUGAACGGGGACAAUGGGCCUGAGAUACGGAGCAGAAUCGUACGGGAGGCAGUAGGCGGGAACAUUGCACAACAGGCGGACGCCUGAUGCAGAAACGCCGCGUGCGGGAUGCCCGGCUUCGGGGUGUAAACAGAUUUCGAAUGUGCCGAAGAGUGCGUGACGGUAAUGGGUAAAGAAGCACCGGCUAACUACGUG
rnacentral:rRNA from 1 species